CGGAUUGGUGAGCGCGUCUCCCACAGCGACCCGCAGGGUGGAGUUGGGGAAGAAAAGAAUAUCUAUGAGAUUCAUCUAUGUUGUUUUGUGUAACCAUAGUUUGCUCCUUGUCUGUGCUGGACUCUUUUCACAGAAAAGCACCAGAAACCAAACAGGGAACAGAGCUGCCACAUGGUGUGUAUCAGAGCUCCGAAGAGAGGCAAACUUCCAGGAAUGAGAACUUCUGACUUUCGUGCUCAGGACAGUGGAUGCUUUGAGGGCUGCGGGUAUCGUUUUCCAAGCCACAUCCUGUACGGUGCUCCUUGGAAAGGGGCUUCCAAAGUCAGGCCAGCUGUAGGAGCCGGGGGUGCUGACCAGGGUCCCCCUUCUGUUGAUGGAGACACUGAGCUUCGAGACGGAACACACCCAAGAACAUACAACUAGAAAGUGGCAGCAUUGGAACUGGAGCCAGCUGCCACGGGGGGGACUCACUCAUACUUGUAUACAAGUAACAUGGGAGUACGUUCAGAUUGUAUGUGAAAUAAACAUGAAACUCUU